rnacentral:rRNA from 1 species
UGGGGAAUAUUGCACAAUGGGCGAAAGCCUGAUGCAGCAACGCCGCGUGAGUGAUGAAGGUCUUCGGAUUGUAAAGCUCUGUCUUUUGGGACGAUAAUGACGGUACCAAAGGAGGAAGCCACGGCUAACUACGUGCCAGCAGCCGCGGUAAUACGUAGGUGGCGAGCGUUGUCCGGAUUUACUGGGCGUAAAGGGUGCGUAGGCGGAUGUUUAAGUGAGAUGUGAAAUACCCGGGCUUAACUUGGGUGCUGCAUUUCAAACUGGAUAUCUAGAGUGCAGGAGAGGAGAAUGGAAUUCCUAGUGUAGCGGUGAAAUGCGUAGAGAUUGUAGACACCAGUGGCGAAGGCGAUUCUCUGGACUGUAACUGACGCUGAGGCACGAAAGCGUGGGUAGCAAACAGGAUUAGAUACCCUGGUAGUCCACGCCGUAAACGAUGAGUACUAGGUGUAGGAGGUAUCGACCCCUUCUGUGCCGCAGUAAACACAUUAAGUACUCCGCCUGGGAAGUACGAUCGCAAGAUUAAA